ACAGAGGGUGCAAACGUUGCUCGGAAUUACUGGGCGUAAAGCGCGUGUAGGCGGGCUGAUAAGUCGGACGUGAAAUCCCUGGGCUCAACCCAGGAACUGCAUCCGAAACUGUCAGUCUGGAGUGGUGGAGAGGGAAGCAGAAUUCCUGGUGUAGAGGUGAAAUUCGUAGAUAUCAGGAGGAACACCGGUGGCGAAGGCGGCUUCCUGGACACUAACUGACGCUGAGACGCGAAAGCGUGGGGAGCAAACAGGAUUAGAUACCCUGGUAGUCCACGCCGUAAACGAUGAGUGCUAGGUGUCGUGAGCUUUGACUCUCGCGGUGCCGUAGCUAACGCGUUAAGCACUCCGCCUGGGGAGUACGGCCGCAAGGCUA
rnacentral:rRNA from 1 species